rnacentral:rRNA from 1 species
UGCAAGUCGAACGGUCUCUUCGGAGGCCGUGGCAGACGGGUGAGUAAUGCAUGGGAAUCUACCAUUCUCUACGGAAUAACUCAGGGAAACUUGUGCUAAUACCGUAUACGCCCUUUUGGGGAAAGAUUUAUCGGAGAGUGAUGACCCCAUGUUGGAUUAGCUAGUUGGUGGGGUAAAGGCCUACCAAGGCGACGAUCCAUAUCUGGUCUGAGAGGAUGAUCACCCACACUGGGACUGAGACACGGCCCAGACUCCUACGGGAGGCAGCAGUGGGGAAUAUUGGACAAUGGGCGCAAGCCUGAUCCACCCAUGCCGCGUGAGUGAUGAAGGUCUUAAGAUUGUAAAGCUCUUUCACCGGUGAAGAUAAUGACGGUAACCGGAAAAACCCCCGGCUAACUUCGUGCC